rnacentral:rRNA from 1 species
GAUGAACGCUGGCGGCGUGCCUAAUACAUGCAAGUCGAACGAGGUGCUUUUGUAGCAAUACGAAGGUAUCCUAGUGGCGAACGGGUGAGUAACGCGUUGGUGACCUACCCCAAAGUGUGGGAUAACAGUCCGAAAGGACUGCUAAUACCGCAUGUGGUCAUUGGCUCUAGAAACUGAUGACUAAAGGAGUAAUUCGCUUUGGGAGGGACCUGCGUCCCAUCAGCUAGUUGGUGAGGUAAUGGCUCACCAAGGCGACGACGGGUAGGGGACCUGAGAGGGUGGCCCCCCACAAUGGAACUGAAACACGGUCCAUACACCUACGGGUGGCAGCAGUAGGGAAUAUUGCUCAAUGGGCGAAAGCCUGAAGCAGCAACGCCGCGUGUGUGAUGAAGGCCUUCGGGUCGUAAAGCACUUUUCUGGGAGAUGAGAAAGGACAGUAUCCCAGGAAUAAGUCUCGGCUAACUACGUGCCAGCCGCCGCGGUAAAAC